rnacentral:tRNA from 1 species
AAAGUGCGGGCNCUCCCGUUUGACAGAGACGGGAGAGA